rnacentral:rRNA from 1 species
AGCGAACGCUGGCGGCAGGCCUAACACAUGCAAGUCGAGCGGAUCCUUCGGGAUUAGUGGCGGACGGGUGAGUAACGCGUGGGAACGUGCCCUUUGGUUCGGAACAACUCAGGGAAACUUGAGCUAAUACCGGAUGUGCCCUUCGGGGGAAAGAUUUAUCGCCAUUGGAGCGGCCCGCGUCUGAUUAGCUAGUUGGUGAGGUAACGGCCCACCAAGGCGACGAUCAGUAGCUGGUCUGAGAGGAUGAUCAGCCACACUGGGACUGAGACACGGCCCAGACUCCUACGGGAGGCAGCAGUGGGGAAUCUUGCGCAAUGGGCGAAAGCCUGACGCAGCCAUGCCGCGUGAAUGAUGAAGGUCUUAGGAUUGUAAAAUUCUUUCAGCGGGGACGAUAAUGACGGUACCCGCAGAAGAAGCUCCGGCUAACUUCGUG